CAAAGGUGAGCCAGUACAGGAUGGACCCGCGUCUGAUUAGCUAGUUGGUAAGGUAACGGCUUACCAAGGCGACGAUCAGUAGCCGACCUGAGAGGAUGAUCGGCCACAUUGGAACUGAGACACGGUCCAAACUCCUACGGGAGGCAGCAGUGGGGAAUAUUGCACAAUGGGCGAAAGCCUGAUGCAGCAACGCCGCGUGAGUGAUGAAGGCCUUCGGGUCGUAAAACUCUGUCCUCAAGGAAGAUAAUGACGGUACUUGAGGAGGAAGCCCCGGCUAACUACGUGCCAGCAGCCGCGGUAAUACGUAGGGGGCUAGCGUUAUCCGGAUUUACUGGGCGUAAAGGGUGCGUAGGCGGUCUUUCAAGUCAGGAGUGAAAGGCUACGGCUCAACCGUAGUAAGCUCUUGAAACUGGGAGACUUGAGUGCAGGAGAGGAGAGUGGAAUUCCUAGUGUAGCGGUGAAAUGCGUAGAUAUUAGGAGGAACACCAGUUGCGAAGGCGGCUCUCUGGACUGUAACUGACGCUGAGGCACGAAAGCGUGGGGAGCAAACAGGAUUAGAUACCCUGGUAGUCCACGCUGUAAACGAUGAGUACUAGGUGUCGGGGGUUACCCCCUUCG
rnacentral:rRNA from 1 species